AUUGAACGCUGGCGGCAGGCCUAACACAUGCAAGUCGAACGAGUGGCGGACGGGUGAGUAAGGUCUGGGAAACUGCCUGAUGGAGGGGGAUAACUACUGGAAACGGUAGCUAAUACUGCAUAACAUCAUAUGUGCCCAGAUGGGAUUAGCUUGUUGGUGGGGUAACGGCUCACCAAGGCGACGAUCCCUAGCUGGUCUGAGAGGAUGACCAGCCACACUGGAACUGAGACACGGUCCAGACUCCUACGGGAGGCAGCAGUGGGGAAUAUUGCACAAUGGACGCAAGCCGGAUACAGCCAUGCCGCGUGUGUGAAGAAGGCCUUCGGGUUGUAAAGUACUUUCAGCGGGGAGGCGGUACCCGCAGAAAAAGCAACGGCUAACUACGUGCCAGCAGCCGCGGUAAUAC
rnacentral:rRNA from 1 species